GAUGAACGCUGGCGGCGUGCCUAAUACAUGCAAGUCGAGCGAACAGACGAGAAGCUUGCUUCUCUGAUGUUAUCGGCGGACGUGUGUGUCACACGUGUAUAACCUACCUUUAAGACUGGGAUAUCUUCGGGAAACCGGCUCUAAUCCCGUAUAAUAUUUUGAUCCGCAUUGUUCAUUAGUGAAUGACGGUUUUUCUUUUACUUAUUGAUGGUUCCUCGCUGUAUUAGCUAGUUGGUAAGGUAACGGCUUACCAAGGCAACGAUGCUUAGCCGACGUGAGAGGGGGAUCGGCAACACGGGAACUGAGACACGGUCCAGACUCCUAGGGGAGGCAGCAGAAGGGAAUAUUCGGCAAUGGGGGAAAGCAUGACGGAGCAAGGCGGCGUGAGUGAUGAAGGUCUUGGGAUCGUAAAACUCGGUGAUUAGGGAAGAAGAAAUGUGGAAGGAAAAGUGCACAUCGUGACGGUAACUAAUCAGAAAGCCACGGCUAACUACGUG
rnacentral:rRNA from 1 species